rnacentral:rRNA from 1 species
AGUGAACGCUGGCGGUAGGCCUAACACAUGCAAGUCGAACGGCAGCACAGUAAGAGCUUGCUCUUACGGGUGGCGAGUGGCGGACGGGUGAGGAAUACAUCGGAAUCUACUUUUUCGUGGGGGAUAACGUAGGGAAACUUACGCUAAUACCGCAUACGACCUACGGGUGAAAGCAGGGGAUCUUCGGACCUUGCGCGAUUGAAUGAGCCGAUGUCGGAUUAGCUAGUUGGCGGGGUAAAGGCCCACCAAGGCGACGAUCCGUAGCUGGUCUGAGAGGAUGAUCAGCGACACUGGAACUGAGACACGGUCCAGAGUCCUACGGGAGGCAGCAGUGGGGAAUAUUGGACAAUGGGCGGAAGCCUGAUCCAGCCAUACCGCGUGGGUGAAGAAGGCCUUCGGGUUGUAAAGCCCUUUUGUUGGGAAAGAAAAGCAGCAGGUUAAUACCCCGCUGUUCUGACGGUAACCAAAGAAUAAGCACCGGCUAACUUCGUG